UCAACCACUUCUAUUCAACUCUCUGAGUUCUUUGACGAAAUGGAUGAAGAUGGAAAUUUGAGACAUAGUAAUGACCCGAGCCUUGUAAACAAGAGGGGUAACAAUGGUGGGAGACUUGCAAGCCAUUCAACGGUUGCAAGGCAAGAUCCACCUCGCUCUUAUCCUGGAGUUUUCAAAAAGGUUCAACCCAGGAGGCUAGAACUGGCAAGGCAAGAGCCACCAAUGAGGCAAGCGAACCCACAAACCCUCCAAAGUUCAAGUUUGCAAGCCAAACCUCACGGUGCGCUC